rnacentral:rRNA from 1 species
CCCGCUGAACUUAAGCAUAUCAAUAAGCGGAGGAAAAGAAACUAACAAGGAUUCCCCUAGUAACUGCGAGUGAACCGGGAAAAGCUCAAAUUUUGAAUCUGGCGGUCCUUCGGGCCGUCCGAGUUGUAAUCUAGAGAAGCGUCUUCCGCGCUGGACCGUGUAUAAGUUUCCUGGAAUGGAACGUCGUAGAGGGUGACAAUCCCGUCUUUGACACGGACUCCCAGGGCUUUGUGAUGCGCUCUCGACGAGUCGAGUUGUUUGGGAAUGCAGCUCAAAUAGGGUGGUAAAUUCCGUCUAAAGCUAAAUACAGGCGAGAGACCGAUAGCGAACAAGUACCGUGAGGGAAAGAUGAAAAGAACUUUGGAAAGAGAGUUAAACAGUACGUGAAAUUGCUGAAAGGGAAACGCUUGAUGUCAGUCGCGUCGACCGGGGAUCAGUCUCGCUUAAUCGCUGGACGUACUUCCUGGCCGACGGGUCAGCAUCGGUUUCGACCGUCGGAAAAUGGUUCGAGGAAAGUGGCACCCCUCGGGGUGUGUUAUAGACUCGGGUCGAAUACGACGUUUGGGACCGAGGGACUCAGCACGACCUUCGGGUUCGGGGCUUAGGCUCACGUUAACGUGCUUAGGAUGCUGGCAUAAUGGCCUUAAGCGACCCGUCUUGAAACACGG